rnacentral:ribozyme from 1 species
UCAAGGGCUCAAGGCGUCGUGCGCAUUUGACCCUCCUUGGAACUCCGACUCAGUGCUU